AUUGUCAAUAUGAAUUAAUAAAAUUAAUAAUGCUUUUCUACAAAAAUUAGAAAUGCAUACAUGUCACUUUGGUAAACUAUAUCCGCAAGAACUUCAACAAAUAAACUGCACUUGAACCCUUCCUUGUUUAAUUUGCAGUUCUGUGAUUCUUGCUUUAUUCUACGCUCUCAUGGCACAGCGAACGACAUGCUCUUCUAUUUCUUACAAAUGGGUUUAUCAUGUGUUCCUCAGUUUUCACGGUGAAGAUAGUCGCUUAGGUUUCAUCAGCUAUCUCUGUGAAGCUCUGCGUCAAAGAAGAAUUCAUGCCUUUAUUGAUGAUGAACGCAUCAGGACAGGAGAAGAAAUCACACCUGCACUUUUGAAAGCCAUACAAGAAUCAAGAAUAGCCAUCGUGGUUUUUUCUGAAAACUAUGCAAACUCAACGUUUUGUUUGGACGAACUUGUGAAGAGUAUGGAGUGCUUCAAGGAAGAAGGUCGGUUGAUAUAUCCAAUAUUUUACUAUGUGGAUCCAUCGGAGCUUCGACGUCCGAGAGGAAGCUAUGCAGAGGCAUUGCCGAGACUGGAGGAAAGAUUCAAAGACAAUAAGAAAAAGGUGCAAAAAUGGAGGCUGGCUUUGUCUCAAGCUGCUGAGCUUAAAGGCUAUCAUCUCAAACCAAAAUUGAAGGAGAUCGAGUGAUGAUGCAUGACUUCAUAGAAGAUGUAGGUAAAGAGAUUGUUUGACAAGAAUUGUCAUAUGAACCUGGUGAACGUAGCAGGUUAUGGUUCUAUCAAGAUAUUCUUCAUGCCUUACAACAAAAUAUAGGAACUAAGAAGGUUGAAGCCAUAAUUCUAGACUUACCAGAAGGUAUGGAAGUACAAUGGAAUGGAGAGGCAUUUAUGAAGAUGAAGAAUCUCAAAAUUCUUGUGAUAAGAAAAGCAUGCUUUUUUGAAUGUCCUAAAUAUUUGCCAAAUAGUUUAAGAUGGUUAGAAUGGAUAGGGUAUCCUUUCAAUUUUUUCCAUAUCACGUGCACCCAUUAGAACUAGUUUACCUAGACUUGUCCUUUAGUUAUUGUGAAUUGCUUCAACCUUUUGAUAAGGUGAGUAUCUAAGAACCAUUAGUACCUUUUCUUUUGUUUCUUUGUCUUACUCUAAAAGAUAAAAUGAUAUUUGUUUUGCAGAAGUUUCGCAAUUUAAAUUGCAUGAAUUUCAAAAAUUACAAAUUUUUACAGCAAAUACCAAGCUUAUCUGGAGUUUCUAAUUUAAGAGA